GGCUCCGUAGCUCAAUUGGCAGAGCAGCUGACUCUUAAUCAGCGUGUUCCGGGUUCAAGUCCCGGCGGGGUCA
rnacentral:tRNA from 1 species